rnacentral:rRNA from 1 species
AUGCAAAAACAUCCCUCUGGUCCUCAUGUUUUCUCUUCGGAUCCUUCUCAGAUCCCCAAUCCUCCAUCGGCCCUCUCGACCUCUCCAGCCGGCGAGCGACGCUGUCGGCGGUCCAGGCCAGAUCCGGUGUUGGCUCCCCUCCACAGCUUCUUCUCCCUGCCUCCUGUCUUCCACUCCGGCUUCAAGGUCGCGUGGAUCCGCCUCCCGGCCAGGCCCAACGUCGCGCGGCGCAUCAUCGCAGGGAUUCGUCGGCCGUCGCUAGUCGUCCUUGCCGAUGGCCGCUGGCGCCUCGGGCACAGCUGCCUAGGUCACCAUCUGGCCUCCACCAUGCCGGACUCCGACGGGUUCGCGACAGAUCCGAAGACCCGCGGCACAGAGUUGUUAGAGAAUACGCAGCCCCGACGGCUACACGCGCCAGCUCUUCUUCCUGACUCCAUCCCCUCACUGGCUCAGUAUCAAGGAGAUUGA